rnacentral:tRNA from 1 species
GGAGAGGUGGCUGAGUGGCUUAAAGCAGCGGUUUGCUAAACCGUCGUAGUACCUAAAGUGCUACCGGGGGUUCGACUCCCCCCCUCUCCGCCA